rnacentral:rRNA from 1 species
UACGGAGGGUGCAAGCGUUAAUCGGAAUUACUGGGCGUAAAGCGUGCGCAGGCGGUUUGUUAAGUCCGCUGUGAAAUCCCCGAGCUCAACUUGGGAAUUGCAGUGGAUACUGGCAAGCUGGAGUAUGGUAGAGGAAGGUGGAAUUCCCGGUGUAGCAGUGAAAUGCGCAGAUAUCAGGAGGAACACCAAUGGCGAAGGCAGCUCGCUGGGACGGUACUGACGCUGAGACGCGAAAGCGUGGGGAGCAAACAGG